UAUACAAUAAUAUGUCUUUUGUUUCAUUGUGUUAUAGGAUCCUGAGGACUAUUUAGCUUGUGUCCUGCAUCUCUUGAAGACUUAUUUUGUACAUAAAUUUUCCAAGCUUGUAAGCAAAUGUACAUUUUAUAGAAACAUUGAAACUAAAAAUGUACAUUUUAUAGAAACACUAAUAGGCUUAGAAUAAAUGCAUCUAAAAUUAUUGAGUUUUGAAAUUUGAAAAAGUAGGCAAGAGUUUUCUUGAAGCAAUAGAUGUCUUUGUUUGCUAUAUUAAGACUUUGAUUAGAACAUAAGAUUGAUUAUUAGAUGUUAAAGUUUAAAGCUCUUAUUAAAAUAUUAUGGAGUUGGUUACAGCAACAUAAAAAACAAAUGCCUGAUGUAAAUAAUAAAAAAGAUAUUUUUUUGACAUCAUCAAUUGUAUGCAUGAAGCUGAAUGUUGGAAUGAGUGAAUCUGGUUUUAACAGUUUUGUGAUUGUUCCUCGGUGACAUAUGUAUCUGUGUUUUACUAAGUGACUUAAUAAAGUGAUGAAUGAAGUUGA